AGUGAACGCUGGCGGCAGGCCUAAUACAUGCAAGUCGAACGGCAGCACAGCAGAGCUUGCUCUGUGGGUGGCGAGUGGCGGACGGGUGAGGAAUACAUGGGAAUCUGCCCAGUCGUGGGGGAUAACGUAGGGAAACUUACGCUAAUACCGCAUGCGCCCUUCGGGGGAAAGCCGGGGACCUUCGGGCCUGGCGCGAUUGGAUGAGCCCAUGUCGGAUUAGCUAGUUGGCGGGGUAAUGGCCCACCAAGGCGACGAUCCGUAGCUGGUCUGAGAGGAUGAUCAGCCACACUGGAACUGAGACACGGUCCAGACUCCUACGGGAGGCAGCAGUAGGGAAUAUUGGACAAUGGGCGCAAGCCUGAUCCAGCCAUGCCGCGUGAGUGAAGAAGGCCCUCGGGUUGUAAAGCUCUUUUGUCCGGAAAGAAAAGCGCCGGGUUAAUACCCUGGUGUCCUGACGGUACCGGAAGAAUAAGCACCGGCUAACUUCGUGCC
rnacentral:rRNA from 1 species